UUGACAGACCGCUCUUGCUUCUGAAGUAUGGUGAAAGCCCUCAAUUAAAACCAGAAGGCAAAUUAGAGUUCCUAUCUCAAUUUGAAGACAGUCACUAGAAUAUGUAUUAAAAGUCUUUGUUUUGAAAUACAUUGACCAAUUCUCAUGGACCUUGCAUCUCAAUGAGCAGUAUGCUACUGGAAAUAAUCAACUAACUGGGAAGGAGAGGUUCACAGCAGGGAAGAAGGACCUUUUCAGAGUUUACCAGGGUUGUAAAGCAACACGUCUCGGGGGAGAGCAGGAGCACUGACCUUGCUGUAUGUAUCUGGGAGCCCAGCUGCCAUUGACGGUACACCAUCUGCAGCAAGCUCGCAAGAACAAGAAGUGGGCUACAAGCAAAGAAAGUAGCACCAUUGUUGCAGCUGGAAGACAGUGCAUCUUAGGAAUUUUCAACUGUUUUAUAAAACAUUCUCCAAGACGUUACGUCUUCUUCAUGCAAACUUGACAACGACUAAUACGCGUCCUCAAGUCUCCAGCUUUCAGUGUCUCUGACUGAGGUUUACUGGUUGACAGAAACAAAGGCAGUCCAUGAUUUAUUCAUGAAGUUGGAAUUCACCAAAUGAUCAGUCAGUUUAUGUAAGGUUCUCCACAGCAUCUUAAACCCUGGAACAAAGCCAAGUGAGUGGACAGCAUGGGGAUAUCUGUAUGCUGCCGUCUGUCAGCUCUGGCCAGCCCAGCUCAGAGGAAGCAGUUGUCUGUAUGACCCACGUCAAGAGAGCCCUUGGAGCCCCACCACACUGUGCCACUAGCACAGAGGAGUGGCAACAGCUUCAGCAGCUUCGGAUUCACAGCCUCCUUGUUCUGGGGACAUAGUGGGUUUUUCUUCUACCAAACUUUUUAAAAAUUCAUCUGCAACAAGGGGGUUGGGAACAUGUAAAUAGAAUAGUUUCUCUGUAAUACCUAUAGAGCUGAUUCUGGAUGACUCCAUAACCCAAAGCUAUGAUUUUCUUCUUUCUACUGGUUAAAGCAGACUUUACAACAUACUUCAGAAAUAUUACCCUACUUCAAUGCCAUCAAUCCAAAGAUACUGUUUUAAAAAUAGCUAACAAUUCAUGACAUAUAUUUAAAAAAAAGAGAGACUGAAUGCUGUGGCUUAAAACUGCAAAGCAAUUCUGAACACCAGCACUGUCAAAAGAAGACAACCUAAGCAGAUCCCAAUAAUGAAGA